AUGGAAAGGCAGACCCCCAUCGGCGUGGGAACGUGGAGCUGGUGGGAUUGUGCCACGGUCUGGGCCUCUCUCCCCCUCGUGGUGCUCGUCCACAGCUCAGGUUCCCUGGUCCAGGCAGCGGUGACUCAGCCGCCCUCGGUGUCAGCGAACCUGGGACAAACCGUCCAGAUCACCUGCUCUGGGCUUAGCAGCAGCAGCAGUGCUGCCUGGUUCCAGCAGAAGGUUCCUGGCACUGCCCCUGUCACUGUGAUCUAUAGCAGCAACAACAGACCCUCGGACAUCCCUUCGCGAUUCUCUGGCUCCCAAUCCGGCACCACGGCCACGUUAACCAUCACUGGGGUCCAAGCCGAGGACGAGGCUGUCUAUUACUGUGGUGGCACCGACAGCAGCUAUAGUGGUGACACAGAGCAAUGGGGAAGUGAUACAAAACCCCCCGCCAUCGCAGGGGCCAGUUAG